rnacentral:lncRNA from 1 species
AACCAAAGCCCAUGCCGGAGCCAAAGCCAAUGCCACAUCCAGAGCCGAAACCUGAGCCCAUGCCUCACCCUGAACCGAAACCUGAGCCAAAGCCCGAACCUAAGCCUGAGCCAAAACCCAUGCCCGAGCCAAAACCUGAACCAAAACCCAUGCCCGAGCCUAAGCCGGAACCUAAGCCUGAGCCAAAACCUGAACCAAAACCUAAGCCUGAGCCAAAACCUGAACCAAAACCUAAGCCUGAGCCAAAACCCAUGCCCGAGCCGAAACCUGAACCAAAACCCAUGCCCGAGCCUAAGCCUGAGCCAACACCCGUGCCCGAGCCAAAGCCGGAACCUAAGCCCGAGCCGAAACCCAUGCCCGAGCCAAAACCCAAGCCCGAGCCAAAGCCGGAACCCAAGCCCGAGCCAAAGCCGGAACCUAAGCCCAAGCCGGAACCCAAGCCCGAGCCAAAGCCGGAACCUAAGCCCGAGCCGAAACCCAAGCCCGAGCCAAAGCCGGAACCCAAGCCCGAGCCAAAGCCCGAACCGAAGCCAAAGCCGAAGCCGGAACCUAAACCCGAGCCCAAGCCUGAACCAGAGCCGAAGCCGUAUCCUAAGCCGGAACCAAAACCCAAGCCAGAACCUAAGCCAGAACCCAAGCCAGAACCUAAGCCCGAACCCAAGCCCAAACCCGAGCCCAAGCCUGAGCCCAAGCCGAAGCCAGACCCGCCGCACAUCCCUCCCGCAGCUGACAACUGACGAAGUGGCCGCUAGCUGUUUUGUAUGACGUUGCAGAGUAUGGUAGUAUCUGAAUAAAACCGGCUGGACCGGGAGUUGCAUCAUCUAGAUUGGUGCUCGCUGCUGCUUGUUGUACCUAUUCUUUCUUUCCAUUGUAUUGAGCUGAGUACAUUACUAGUGCAGCUUCAUUUGUUCUUUGUACAUGCAUUAUUAUCCACGUGACUCGUUGCUACACAUUUUUGGUGUCAUGCUUGAUCUCUCGCCAUCUUUGCACGUAGGCCUGACGGCUCUUUUUCUAUCGCAUGCUCCCUCCGUCUCAAAUUACAAUUUAUUUUAACUUUUCUAGAUAUAUACUAAUGGAGGGAGUAUGUUUCUACGCGUUUAUGGCGUCUGAACAACAGAACACAGACAUGUGCAGUACAAGGAUUAUGACUAAACUCAAAUUUUUGUUCUACUUUAUAGUAAAAGAAAAAAGCAAAAGUGGUGAUAGCAAGAAUAAUGAAAGAAACACGUGAUCGAGUCGAAAAGAACUUGGACCGAUUAUAGCCCUAACUUUUCUAUCUCUCGACAGUCUAUAAAGUCAGUCAGUCAGUCCAUCGAUUUGAUCUUUUAGCAUCAAAACAUGACCCACACCGGUCGCUUCCCCUCUCACGUUUUUUUUCCUUCGAGCUGAUGUCAACAUUGGACAUAAAUGCAUGAUGGGCUUCCAAGAUCGAUGGUGGACCAACAUACUUUCAUUUUUCUUCCAUCCUUCAGUUUCUCAACUAAUGCGAAUGCGACAAGCGAUUACAACUUGGAUAUAGACCAGUCGUCGUACAGAUACAUAAGGAUGCCGAUCAGUCUUGUGCCAUAAGAAACUUAACUUUGCUCUGCCUCCUCCUCCUCCUCCUUUCUUUCAGGUAGUGCAGGACUACAACUUGUUAAUGUUGUAUUGUUGUUGCCUCUCACGGUGGUUUCAUGAGGCCCUGAUGUGUUGAGGAUAAAUAAAAAUGCUGUCAAAUUUGGUGGUGAGAAAUUGAGAAUUGUAUAUUAUGUGUGGUUGUGUAAUUUAAAUUAGGUAAUAAUCUCUAAGACCAUUUGUAUAGUAUCAGGGUUCCAAUCGCUACCACUAAUUAGAGAAACAAAAACUUUUUUUUUUGACGGGCAACGGGGGGACGAAGAGUCCCACCUGAAUUAUAUUACCACAUAUGCCGGCAAGCCGGCGAUGGUACAACAAUUGCACGGUUACAGUGGCUUCAAGAGCCAGAAUGGAAGUAGAAGGGGACGGGAUAGAUACAACACCAGAGUACAACAGAGGAACGGGAGGAGCACAACUCGCAGACAAUUCAAAGACAAAACAUGUCACAACCGAAAGACAACCAUUGAUCACCGAUUUGCGCCUCCACCAAACAACGUACUUGCCGGUUACACUGUGACCGUUGCACCUUGCCCCACCCCUCGUAGCUACGCCGUCCCGCUGCUGCCCUCCAUCUGAGUGACCGCGCAGCAGGAAGGGGACUUAGAGCGGCGAAAGGACGCGCAAGCCAAAGCUUACCGGAAAACGACGACCUCCCUUGGAGCUGACGGCACCACCUCCUGCGCAUCCGAGCUCCACGUACCACCAUUCAACGCCGCUCAAGGGGAGGAAUCCUUGAGGGGGAAUUGCAGCAGCGGUGGAUACACCACCCGGCAUUUGAUCUUCUGACACCAUCAACAAGGAGAGCAUCGACGAAAUAGAGGCCCCAGGAGAGGACGCUCACCGAAUCACGCCGGCAGCAAACAGCCAAUGACAGCCUCGCCAACGAACAGUAAGAAGGAAGGCAUAAGAAACCCAAGCAGAAACGAACCAGCUUUGCGGCAUGGCGGACGAUAGUAGUUCGGGAUGGGCGAUCUCGUCAUCACCUCCAAGGAGGACCACGGCGCCUGAGGGCGUCGUCGGUGACGGCACCGGCCGAAGCCGGGCUAGGAUUUCUCCUGAUCGAACCAUCCCAACCGGCGUCGCUCCAACUGGUGCAAGCGCGGCCAUACCAACAUGUGGGUGGGAACGCCUCGAAACAACACCUCCAUGGAGGAGACGGCACCUGUAGGUGUCGCUGUUGUCGGCUAACGGCAUAACGCCGGGCUAGGAUUUCUCCCGGCGAGUUCCCGACCCGUCGGCGCAGCGCAGGCACCGAGAAUGACGAGGAGCCUUCGCCGCCCUUGAAGAGAAGCUGGGGAGCACGGCUUGAAAGAGCGGCAGGACGCCAACCCCUCACGCCGUUGGGCACCUCAAGAGCGGCGCGGAGGCCAUGGAGGCUCUUGGCCAAGUACUGGUUGCCCAGCCACGUCUCCACCAGCCGGGAGAGCUCGUGCCCCGCCGCAGCCAGUCGAGCUCGACCCCGCCGCCGCCGGCCUUGCGAGCUCGAGCCCUGCCACCGCCGGCCCGGGGCACGGGCACGACCAGCCCCACGCCGAAGCCAAGCACCGUGGAUGCACCGAGUCCGGGUGCCAUGCUCGGACAUGGCUGCUCUCGCACCCGAACAGGGGACAAGAGACCCACCACCGCCGGCAGUCACGUCUCCGUCCCGUCGCCGGCACCCCAGAUCCGGUAGAGUAGGGACCGGAUCUGGCCCAGGAGGCCCCGGAUCCGCUGCCUUGCUGGCCGCCAUUGCCAUGGGCGCUACUGGAGCUCCAAGCCCAACACAGGGAGAAAGAGAACAUGGGAGAAAGAGAAACAAAAACUUGAUUUGAAUCGUGAGGUUGAGGAUGGAGCAAGCAGCUAGCUGCCUGCCCAGGCAAGCUAGUAUGCCCAUUGGUUGCAGGUUUUUUUUAUCAAGAUUCGAUAGUGAUGAACCAAGUGAAUGAAUGGUCCACCAAUACAGUACGUGUUGUCCUGCCCUGUCCUCGCAUGAAUGAAUGUGCAAGAUUCUCGCCCUUCAUUCUAUCCCGAGUGUUGCCCUGCUGCUAUGCAAGAUUACUGCGCCAAAUAUGCUAUUUUGUUGCAAAAGGACUUACUGCCACGAAAUACAUUCCGUUGCAGCAAGACCUGUUGCCACGGAACCAAUGUAAUAGUCGUUAUAUUGUCACGGCAUCAGCCAUCGUAAUUGUUUUCUAAUACAAUGCUAAUUGGGUGGCAAUUAGAAUAAAUGUUGCAACAACAUAAAAUACGCGGCAUAAACUUUGAAGCGUGCUACUAUUUGCCACGCCUGCCAAAGAUUUUGAUAUCGUUGCAAUUAGUAUAUAUUGCCGUGUUUGACCCUACUGUGAUGAUUUCUUUUUUAUCAAUGCAAAAUCAUGAUUUACGUCUAUUGUGUUGGUGGGUUACUUCUCUAUCUUCUAAUACGAAUGCGUAUACAUGAUCUUUCUAUUGGGCCUCCGGCCUCUAUAAAUUUUCUAUUAUGUGGGCUGAUACAGCUCAUACGCCUUCACGACAAAUCAGAUAGCCAACUAGGCCUUUUAGCCCAUACGCACACUAAUAACUGGCCCAUUAGGUCCCUUUCCCGUGGGCUGUGGCCUGUGAUAUCAGUCAGAUUUACACUUGCUACAGUUCCAAGUUCAUAUACCUUCCUUUUUUUUAAGGCCAUAUACACAACUUUAGAGAUCUUGAGACCUGCCACAAAUGCAAACAUAUACCACCAGACAUGCAAAGGUAAAAGCAGCUAUCCAUUUCUCAUCAAUAAGGGUGAAAGGGAUCUGUACCCAACAAAAAUUGACUUUUGUCUUGGUUCAUGUACACAACCUUUGAUGCUUUUUGUUGAAGACAACGUUACCAUUAAUUAUUUUAACCAUCAUGCCUCCAGCUUUCAUUAAGAAUGUUAAUCUACUUACAAACAGCACGGAAGGAUGGUGUUCGUCUCCAAAUUAUCUUGAAAAGUUGCUGAGCUAAUUUGACGGUGCACGUGCCUAAUUGACUCCGACAGGCCAAAACAUAUAUAUAGAGAGAGAGAUCGAGUUGGGUAGAUUUCAAAAGUAACUUUUCGUGGAGGAACAGAAUAAACCGCACCGAAUCUUGUGCAUAGGCUGUCCAGAUUAUAUUCAGUGAACCGUCUCCUAAUUAUCUUAAAAAGGUGGCUAAGCUAAUUUGACGGUGUACGUGGUUAAUUGGCUUCGACAGGCAAACAUCAUAUAUAGAAUUGGAUAGAUUUCAAAAAUAAAUUUUGAAGGGGGAACAGAAUAAACUGCACUGAAUCUUGUGCAGUAUGCUGUCCAGAUUAUAUAUAAGUCAUACAAUCUUACUCCACUGCUGAUGAUGCAUUCUGUUUCUAUCAACCACGCAAUGCUUAAUAAGUGUCUGCUUUAGUUUGACAGCAACUUUAAUGUUUUUCUCAUUCAUCCAUCAGUGGUUAUUGGAAAAGUAAGGAAGAUGAGGAAGCUCCAAUUAAAAGCCAGCACUCGGGAAAAAAAAAUAACUCACAUGUUCUAUAGUAACUAAACAAAAAUAAAGUUCGAUUACUUAAUUUAUGAUUUUUUUGUUUCACUUUUCCGUGUUCGAUUACUUAAUUUGUUAUGGAAGACAGCUUUGGUCUGCUUUGUAAUUUCUUUUCUUCCAGCCCAUAUCCCUGUCUCUUUCUCUGGUACUAACAUGAAGUGUAGGUAUAUAAUAUUCUCACUCACUUCGAAUUAUUAGCACACUUGCUACCAGUUCCAUGUAAUGAAGGAAUGCUGUCUUAGAGAUUAAAAGAAUAAAUUGCCACUUUCAAAUAGAGAGACAUAUGGCCCUCUGUUGAAAAUUAUACUAGAAUUCUUUGCAAACCAAAAACGUAUAUAUGCUGCUAUACGAUAAUGGCACUGAUCUAAACAAGAAAAAAUUAGGUAUUGUUUGUUGCUAACAAAAGCUCUAGGUAUAGUAUCACUAGUAUAUAUGCGUAGCUCCCAGUGUCCACCUUUGCUGAGAAUUUCUUCAACAUUCGGUCUCGUUUAUCAAUCAAAAAGCUAUUCAUUAAGGGCCAUGUUACCUUGAUCUAUGCAUGCAUAUGAUUUUUGGGUAACAGAAUUUAAAACUCAUAACAAAUUUUGGUAUAUGUUCAAUCUUCUUUUUUAUUAUCAUAUAUGGACCCCCAAUAAUUGAGACCCUUUAAUUUCUUUACAAUACAUUAAGAAAUUAAAAACUUAAAUUUAAGAAGUCCCAUAUCUGUGUGUAUUACUGAAUGGUCAAUGCAUCAAUCUGAUUGAGGAUGCCAUGCGAUUUAAGUAAUACUAGUUGUCCGAUGGGAAUAUAUGCAAAAUGCUAGGAUAGCUUUAGACGUCAUGAUACAAAGUAUCUAACAUUUGCUUAUGUUUUCCUUGCAUGUCAAAGGUUCAUUGGGUGCAUCAUUUUACUCUCAUGCCGACAACUCAAUAUAUUCUUAGUUGUCUGAAGAGUGCACUCAUACUCUCAUCCUAAAUUAUGGCUGGCAUAUUCUUUACGUAGGUGAUGCGCACUUAACCAGAAGAUGCAACUACAAAGAAAAUCAUGUAACUGGCUACGAUUGCUACGAAAGAGAAGAUUUGAUGCUGUGGUCAAUAAUUGACUUCCAUGACAAAUUAGGAAAGGCAAUGAUGAUGCCCUCCAUAUUUAGCUUAAUAACGGCCUCUUUAAUGGUAGAGGAUAGGUCCUUUUAUCCAAUAAAUUUUGAAAUGUCAUAACAUAAAUUUUACUAAGCUAUUUUAUAAGGAGAAGCACGCAGUAGCCAUCAGAACAGUUCAUUACUAAAAUCAAACUGUUUGUUUCCCUUUUUCCAACUGGGAGCAGAACCAAAUAGGCCUAGGUGGCGAGCGACCAAGCGAACGUGCCUAAAUUUUGUAUAUAGUUACUAUGUACUCUAAUAGAAUUAUUGUCUUUUAAAAUUUGCCUUGAUCUGGUGGCCGCCUGGAUAACAUCUUGUUACAAGGCACCGAUGCUCCACAUCAUCGAUAUGGCUUCUCGAAGGCACAAAGGAACGCACGUGUCUCAAUUCCAAGGGCAAAUCAACUUUGCUCUAAAAGUUGUAUCUAUCUCAAUGCUUGCAUAUCCCGGUAGUUUCAUGCAAUGUGGGCUAAACUUCUGCGUGCACAAUAUUUAGGUAAUUAAACUAUAUGGUCAAAGUUGGUAAAAAAACAAAUAAAGUCUUAUAAACCUUAGAGCUUAAUUAUAUGAUAUUAUAUUUGGCCCUGAAGAAUAUUUGGGCAGAAAAAAGCGUGCGUGCACAAAAUCAUAUAAGCUGUGUAAAAAUAUGCCAUUUUCUCGACAUCCACUCAUGUGCAGAAUCCAAUACCACAACCCAUCACUGGGGAGCAAAAUUAAGAAACUCGUAUACGUAUGCCGGAACAUGAAUGAAACUGUAGUCACAUCUGUCUCCUGAUGUCACAAAAGUCAAGAGGAAAAAGAAAAAAGGAGUGUGAGAAAGCUUCCCAGCCUACACACAUAUAGGUGCCGGGGACCUGAGGUGGGGUUUUGUUGGGGCUCAAAACUAAGCUCAUUAUCUAGGGUCAACAGCUUUCAAAAGCUACAUCUCCUUCCUUAAUUUUCUCCGACCCAAGUAUUGGGCAUUGCAUCCGUCCAUCCGGUCCAGAUCUCGAGAAUAAAUGGCACGUAGCCUCAAGAUCUUCUUGCUAGCUUGUUCAUUGGUAAAUACUAGAUUUUAACUCCAAAUUAAAACGGCCUGUCCAGCCACUACAUAUCUACGCAGCCCUAAUGGAUUGAGAUGGACCUUUACAAAAGAAAAGGUAGAUUCCAAGGACCCCUGGAUUAAGGAUUAUGAUUAGGAAUCGUAUCAUCCACUCUACGUCCAACGUUGUGGCGAUACCGUGGCCGUUCGAUCGGAAAUGAAUGAUCCAAGAUACACACCAGGAGCACUAGUGUAAGAAAUAUAUUCUUGCAAGAUAGCGUGAGGUGAUCCACCACGUAUCCUUAAUUUCAUGGUACUCAUCGUCUAGAUCAGUAUCUUGCAAAUUCUUGUUGCAAUGACUGCUGAGGAAUAUUUGACCAAAUUAAAGCUCAUCAACCAUAUCUCUUUUAUUUGCACUGUGUGAGUAUACGAGCAUCUCAUUUCAGAACUCUUCCCACGGAUGCCUAUAAGUAGGCAACAGUCGUACUCCCCAUACCACGCCACACCAAGCCCCAUUUCAGCUUAGCAAGCUUUGUGUACCAGUGUCUUGGUCUUUCUGCAACAAGCUAAGUGACCAGACCACAAGCUAUAUAGGGCCGGGCGGCGAUGAGCAUGUCGAGGGACCCGCUCGUGGUCGGCAACGUCGUCGGCGACAUCGUGGACUACUUCCCUGCGUCGGCGCUGCUCCGGGUGUCCUACGGCGGCCGCGAGAUGACCUGCGGGUCGGAGCUGAGGCCGUCGCAGGUGGCGACCGAGCCGGCGGUGAGCAUCACCGGCGGAGGCCACGACGGCAGGGCACUCUUCACGCUCGUGAUGGUGGACCCUGACUCGCCUAGCCCAAGCAACCCCUCCAAACGGGAGUACCUCCAUUGGUACAUACGUCUAACGACUAAGCUCUCGCUAGAUACAUUUUUUUGCAUGCUAAAUUGCUAAUGCAUAUUAGAGUUGCUUGGGUUGGGUUCUUUGUUGAUUUUGCUGUUUUUUCAUUUGUUGUAUUGUCUAAUCUGAGUUCACAUAUUCUUUUUAAUAUAAUCAGCAGCUCUUUUACCCGAUUUGUUUAAAAAAAUGCUAAUGCAUGAUUUUCUUAACGAUGAUGUCUUGCAUCUAUAGGUUGGUGACUGACAUACCAGAAGGAGCUGGUGCCAAUCAUGGUACGUGAGCUUAUGUACAUCGCUCAGAGCUGUAUUUUGAAUUUGAAUUUUAUGCACGAACCAGUUCACUCAAAAAACUUAUGACAUUCAUUAAGAAUGAUGGUUGAGGCCGGAUUUUUCCUUAAUCUAAAAAAACUCAAAAAAACGUAUAACGCUCCAUCGAGGUAUUGACAAUAAUUGUGCAUCGGCAAGGAAACGAGGUGGUGGCGUACGAGAGCCCGCGGCCAACGGCGGGGAUCCACCGGUUCGUGUUCAUCGUGUUCCGGCAGGUGGUGCGGCAGGCGAUCUACGCGCCAGGGUGGCGCGCCAACUUCAACACCAGGGACUUCGCCGCCUGCUACAGCCUCGGCGCCCCCGUCGCCGGCGCCUACUUCAACUGCCAGAGGGAGGGCGGCUGCGGUGGCCGGAGGUACAGGUGAAGCGAUCAAGAAAUAAGCCAUCGGGAGCUAGCCGGUGGUGAUUAUCAAAGGAAAACGGAUAUAUAUAGCGAUGGGGAAAAAAAUUAUGGGACACACAAUAAUGCAUGGAGUGUAUAGGCUCCUAUGCACCGUAUUGUUUCUAAUCCAUCUACGAUGUGCAUGAUUGAUGAGGCUGUUAAUAAGCAGUACUCUAAUCUAUCCAUUUGAUAGCACUUUUCUGUUAUCGUUGAAGUGUCUUCGUUUCAAAUUAUUUGUGCACAAGGAAACAGGAAUGUGUUCGUUACACUUUUGCACUCUCUGCCCAAAGUUUAAUAUUCUCAAACGAAAAGGUUACGGAUUUGCAGUAUCGGAUUGUAUCACCUCAGUCAGGAAAAUCUGAUCUGGAUAUUGACCGGAAUUCGCAGACUAGUAACAGCUCAAAAACACCAAACGUAAUGCAUGAAAAAUUGGUGCUCUUGUAAAAAAAAAUACUUGGGCUUUGUAUCAUAUGAUCAAAAUAUGGUUAAGCGAAAUUCCCGGACUUGCUAGUAACAGCUCUGAAAAACUAUUCAAAUGCAAUAUGAAGAAAUUAAUGGAACUCCUACAGAAAAAUUGGACGUGUACCAAAUUAACUAAAAUUUGAAAUAGGCCGGUAUAUAAUAUAUAUAUACACACACACUUGAAAAGGAGAUGGAAGAUAGAUGCAAUUUCAAGUACUUUAUACAAAAUAAGUUCGAAUGUGAUCCAAAAACUGCAAGCUUGGACAGGCCCACACGGUCUAUCUAUCUGUCCAAGUAUCCAUCUUCGAUCGCGUGGUACGCCAACACAUGCAGCGCCGCAAAGGCAACGAGCACGCGUGUAGAAUAGCACCGCUAGUUCAAUAAUUUGUUGUUAAUUUCCGAGCUUAAGAUUAAGCUGUUGUCUGAAUAUAGGAGUAGGAUGCAUCGACACAAGGCAACGAGAUGUACUACUUUUUCUUAAUAGAAAUACUAAGUACUGUACUAAGCUAUCAACAGAAGUACCCACUAGCUAAAGCUCUCAAGACCACUUAGCGGCAGUUUAGCUGUUCUUGGGACCAAAUUAAUUUGAUUAUGAGACCACAUAUGAAUAUCAAUUCCUACUAUCUUCUUUUAUCUGUCACGUAUUAAUAAUGCACCAUCGUUCUGUCAUAGUCCAUUGUGACAUUGUCAGACAAUUCCUGAAAAAUGAGCGUAUGAUGAAAAAUUCCUAACUAAAUCCACAAUUAAGGCAUAACAUAUCUUCUCUCUACUGACACACGUCUUGGUGGAUCAAACUCUUUCAACUUUAGGUCGGUCCUAUCGCUCGAUAGGAAGGGAGACCGACAAGGUGAAACCUAUCUCACCUAAAAUUAAGGGCUAGCAGCUUCUCAGCGUGAAAAGUCAGAAGUUUAAAUAAACAGUAAAUUUUUCGUGCAGCUUCCGGAAAGCUGGAAGCUCGAAAAAGCUGAGUUUAUAUGGGAAGCUGAAAAGCUCAGUUUUCCAAGCUUUUCGUAGCCUUUUGAGUCCAGAAAGCUAAACACAUCUUCUAAAAGCUAGUGUUAGCCUUUAAAAAUAAAAUCAGCAGCAAUUUUUUAGAAAAAUCUCAAAAGCUAUAGCUUAAACAAACUGGUAGUACUCACUUUUUAUUCUCGCACCACCACCGCCACACUUGCCGUGUGAUGUGGUCUAUGGCUGCUAUGUAACCGUUACCGGACAUAUAAGUGGUGAGGCUGCAGCUCACGUAACAGGAGAGCAAAAGGAUAAUGAGAGAGUCAUUACUUGUCCUCCUCGUUUGUCGGAAAGUAGGAAAUGGUUGUAACUUGUACUCAUUGGAGGUACUUUAAUAACAUAUAGUCGGUUAUUUCCAAUAGCUUAGCUAUAUCCUUGGUUGUCUUCAUUGGAGGGGUGAUGUCAUCCUCGAUGAUUUUUAGCCGUUGGAGAUACAGGAAAUUAAAUCUUCAUAUAUACUGUGGCAGAGAGUUGUCAUCCAUGAAUCAAACAAUCGUGUCUAGUUCGCUCACAUUUUUCUAGUAAUCGCUGUAUCAUCAAGAAGUGCACAAUGGCAUUGCGUUAUCACUUUUUUUCCUUUUGCAAAAGAACACAGAGCUCAGACGAAUGCACACUCUGAUUACACGUAUUUCUAUAGCAUCCUCACUCAGUAGACGUACCAUCAGAUAAAGUGAGGUGCUGUGGACCUUUUUGUUGAAAAGAAAAAACAAAAGUAAGUUUCCAUCUCGCCGGUCUCAAUCCCACAUUGUUCGAAUCCUUCCUUGCAGUUAGCAACGGCCAAACAGUGAAGCACUUCCAAAAAGAAAUUAUUCCUACCCACUACACAUACGAGGUCAGGUCCGGUCAAGACGAAGACGGACGUGCCGACGUUGGUUGGUAGUUGGUACGGCCGAGUUGCCGACACAACCCCAUAUUUGCAGAGCAGAUACCAAAUCCCACAAACGACGAGGAUCGAGCUGCUUGGCCGACGACGCUGCACGUUCGCCGCCGGAGCAGGGCCGGCCGCCGCAAUUUCACGGCGGGGCCGGCGAUGGCGAGAUGACGGCGACGCAGCUGGGCACGAAUUGGAAUUGAUGAGCAGCGAAUGAUUGCCCCGCCGGAAAGAUUAUUCGAUCCGAUAGAUUGGUGAACCUAUAGCUAGUGCGGCCGAAAGCUGCAGCGCCUUGCGUUUGCGUGGCCGUGGCGCCGUGCAAAGUGCAUCCCGCGGCCCGGCCGCCGGCGCCGCCGCCCUGCAGGGCGGAGCAACUUGCGCGCCGUCAUCGGAGCUGUGAUCGACACCCGGUGUAAAUCUCGAUGAUCAAGCUAGGUCCACGCACCCAGCUAAAAGCAUGUGGAUCAGUAUAUAUCCAGUGAUUGCUAUGUGACAUCUGUGUAUAGCAGGGCGAGCACAAAUCUCGAGAAAACGUGAGUGUAUGGCUGACCUCCAUCUAGUUACUAGCUAAUUGCAUGAGGAAUCCGGCAAUUUUUGUUGCCUAGCUGGACAGAUGGAAAGGCAUAUCGAUCUAGUAUACUGUACCAAAAGUGGUGUGGGAUGGAUCCUUGACUGGGAUGGGAUCCAAGCACUUUCCUUUCAGCUACAUUACAAGAACAUUAAUAAUGGAGCGACUUGAUUAGAGCAUCUCCAUUGGUCUCCCAAUAACUAGUUAAUAGGAUGUCCCAAUAUCACUUUCAUUGUUAUUGGAAGAGUUGCUUUUGCAGUCUCCCAAUAAUCUCAUCCCAAUCCAAUUACCGUAUUGGGAGGGUCACACUUUAUUUAGGAAGAUUUGAGGUGAAUUAUUGGAUAGUCCCAAUAAUUAUUGGGAAAAGAAAAAAAGGUAAAGGGAGACGGUUGGAGCACUAUUUUCUUAUCAACUCUCCCAAUACGAUAGUUGGAUUGGGGAAAGGAAGACUGCUAGAGAUGCUCUUAGGUCCAUCGAGGUAGAACCAACCUAUCCGUUUCAAGUAUCAGAUUCAAAAGGUGCAUUGUAUUUCAUGGCUAAUUAUUCUUUCGACGGUAGGCAAAGUGGCUGUAGUAACUACCUAGUUCUAGAACUAGUUUUCAAUAACAAUUUCAAUUGAUUUUAGAACUAUUUUAAAAUUCAAGUUCUUUUAAAUUAGACUAUUCAACUGCCCAACCAGAAUAUAUAAAAUUUCCUGUAGUUAAUAUAAAUGCUUAUGCAGUGGCAUUUAUUCCAUCGAAUCUUCCUAGCUAGUUUAUGUCAUUUCACUCUCAUAAGCUUCAAGACAAAACGAGGUCAACAUCAUACGAAGAGCAUAACGAUACUAAUCAAUUGGUGAAACGGCAUCAUAAAUAACAUGGAGGUCCAGAGUUGAGUACCAAGGGGAAUUUGUGUAGCUUUCAAACAUAAAAGGUAAUAUUCUAGAGUUAGAAGGAUGAUGAUACCACUCAAAUUUUUGGCCUCACAUGCGGAUGCGAGCCAGAUAACGUGUCGAGCAUAUAUGGUGAAUUAUUUAACAAGAACAAAAAUUUAUUCGCAUGGAACAAAAUGUUUCUAUACCUAAAAAAAUGAGGUAAACACAUGGUGAUGAGGACAUCACCAUGCUAGACACCCACGAGUCAUGAUCUUCCCCAAGUUACAGAUCGUCACCAACUCGGUCGUUGCGUUCAGUUCGGAUUCAACCGAUACCCCUGCACGGUUUCGGCCAUAUCUCCCUCAUACAACAUCGAAACGAGACGUUCUUUGAUGCGUUGGAACGGGGACGCCGCCGCCGUUCUUUUGGUUCUGAUCCUAGCUCUAUAAGGUUCGUGGAUCAUUCUAUGUGACCACAACAAGUUGCUGCAUCACCAGUUUUGGGCUAACUUGGCCUUGUAUCGUGUCGAGCCUUAAGCCCAAGUUGUGGGCGCCCCCCUGGUCGCACCCAACCCUAGUUUGCCCUUUUGAUAUAAACUCAGUAGCCGCCACCUUAGAAACUCGGGUUUUGUUUAGUUCUAGUUUUACUUUAAGAAAUUAAGAUUGAUACGUUGUAACUGUGGCGACAAGUCCUUUUACAGUGAUCCAGGGCUCCUGUUCCUAUUCUCCUCGACUGUGUCGAUUAGUCCUUUCGAAUUGAGAGCUUGAACCCUUCUUUACUUCAUUCAUAUUUGCAAUUUCAGAUUGCGUGUUUAUACUUUCUUGCUUGUGUCCUUCGAUUCGCUUGCAGGGAAAGCCUUCUUGGCGAGGUCAAUCAAGUUGUGCUCGGUUGAUAACCAACGGAGUAGCGGUGUAGCGGUCGCAGGGAUUCGAAUCAGUCUGAUUAGAAGCCCAGAUCGUCAACGUCGAGUCUCCACCAAUCAAAUUUAUCACUACCUUUCGGAAGAUCUGGUUAGUGCUACAUCACAUGGAACAAAUUUUCUAACCCGUGUUUUAGUUAACAUGAAUUGCCGGCACACAACCUUCAUUAAAAAUGAUUCAAGUUCCUUUUUUAGAUAAUGGAUUCAAGUUAAUUACUCCCACGAUUGAAUUCAAACCUUAGAUUUUCUACUAAUGGAAAUAAACACGAAAAUGGUACAGAAGGAAAGAAAUGCAGGUCAGUGUGAUCGCGUAAAUACACGCGGCGGUAAGACAAGACAGCGUAAACGGCCUGACACAGGGGUUAACCGCUUCCUCCCCUUCAUCAAAAACCGCUACCCUCUCUCGCGCGCCAUUGCGUCUCCGUUGCGCCCUCACCCGCCCGCCGCUCAGCGCGCGGCCUCGCCCCGCGGCGGCUGGCGGCCGGCCUGUGCACCGCGCCCUCUCCCACCGGCCACCGUCGAUCACGUCUCGUAAUGGCGGACGGGCAUGGCGAAGGUGCCGCCUGGGAAGGGCCCUACGACCCGUUCCUUAUGCAGGACGACUUCGACGACGUCAUGUACUUGCUCGACAUGGCCGCCGUCGUCCUUGACCCGCCGCCGCUGGCAGCACAGGCGCAGAACGUCGCCGCUGGUCCCUCUCCCUCCGGCGACAAUAAUCUCCUGGAGUGUCCGGCGAAGUCGAACAACGACUCCGUCGGCAACAGCGCUCCUACACACAAUGCCGGCGUCACCACCGGUUCUCCUAGCAGGGCGCAAGACGUGGGCGCUAGCACAUCGGCGACCGCAUCGACGUCAUCGCCGGCGGCCACGCACCAGAACGCGUUAGAUUGCACCGGCUGCCAAUUGCUGCGAGAAGUUCUGCACUCUAACGGUAGACACACGUACCGACGACAUGGAUCGUCCAUGGAUGCCGAUCAAUCACGAAUGCUUAUACAUCUGGCUUCUUGCGAAUUUCUAGGGUUUGAGGCGACAAAGCUUAGUAUCCAUGGGGCCGCCGGGGUGUUCUACCAUGCAACACUGGAGGUGUACCGCAUCAAUUCCGAGGGCAUGGCAACAUCACUGACGCAUCAGUCCAACAUUGAGUAAGUUGGAGAGACUCGAAUUUCAUGUUGUGGCAAAUUUCUCGAAUGCUUUUGCAGUGCAUCUACUAGCAGUAAUUUGGUUGAAGCGCAUAGUUUCAGGUGCCGGGACUACGAGUGGGUGAAACGCUACCUGACGGGCUACGCCCAGCAACGCGCUGGCGGAGGCUACACCGUCAUCCAUGACUCGGUCUCGGCGUUCCACGACGCCCUCUGCACCAGGAUGAGCUACGGCGGCGGCAACGUUGAAGGCGGCGACGACCGCUGUGAAGGGGAAAUAAUGGCAGCAGCAGCAGUGGAAAAUGGUGGUGGUGAUCAUCAGCAUCAAGAACUCGCCGGUGCUGCUGAUGCUGCUGCACAUCCUCCCGUCGAGCAGGGCGACGCGCCGGCAGCAGCAGCAGCAGCAGGUUGGAUUGUGCAUCACUGCAUCAGCUCUUCUGAUCUUCUUGCCCUUUGCAUUAGGUUCUAGCUAUCUAGGGUUUAAGUUUCAUAUUCAGUUUAUCAGUUACGACUUAUGAAUAAAGAUUACUGUUUCAAAUGUAUAGGGCCUUCUGAACCAAGUGCUGAUAACGAGCAGGAGCAACGGGAGGUUCGCCCGGUUGGCGGCAGGAGUGCACUUGCGAUCCAGGUAUCUAUGACACGUGAUCAUUCCACUGGAUCUACUGUUUUCUGGCACACAAAUUGUUUGUUACACCUCAGCUACGGUUAGUUAACAUUGGAAUUACAAAUUUACAACUAGUUUAACAUUUUUAAUUUGCAGAGGGAGAGAGCGAGCAAUCUGCAGCUGAGCGACCUGGCGCGCUACUUCCACCUCCCCAUGACCGAGGCCGCCAAGCACCUCGGCGUCUGCGCCACCGUCCUCAAGACCACCAGCCGCAGGUUCAACGUACCUCGCUGGCCUCACCGAAAAGUAACCACAAGUUCACAUGACCUAGCUCUCCUUAAUUUAAUUAUGUGCUUCGUCCUAAUCUCCUUUACUAAUAUUUUCUGAUGAUUUUUUCUCUUUCAUAUGUUUAAUCAACCGGUGAUGGGGAUUAUAUUUGUUUGUGUGCAGAUCAAAAGCAUUGACAACCAUGUUGCCAAGCUGAGGAGGAGCGGCGGCAAUGGCGGUGCAGCGGCGAUGAGUGAGAUGGAGAGGCUCACCGAGUCCAGGAGAAAGAUUUACGCUGACCUGGUUGGUCAGUAAAGACCAGGCACAUUGUCUACAAUUUUUACACUGGAAAUAGUACUUGUAAUAAGAUGCCGCGCAGAUAUAUACUUUGUUGUCUAGUAAGAUGCCAACAAUUUUUGUUUACAAGAAAGGGAAUAAGGAGAGAGCCCUCUCCUAGAUUUCAUGGAUGCUAAAAUGAGAUGGAUUGUCAGGUCCGAGGAAAAAAAAUCAAAAAUUAAAUAAAACGCCACAUACACGCACGCAUAAUUGCCCCUGCUAACACACGCACGCAACCUUACCCCAAUGAGCACCUCCGAAAGAUCUAGUCGGCAAAUUAUAUUGGCACAAUCGAACAAAGAAGUCGCGGAUCCAUCCCCUUCAAAUCAAUUCAUAUCUCCCAAACUAUAGGUUUAAUUACAAUGCAUGGAUUUUUGUAUAGGCAUGUAUUUCCAUGAAUCCCCUACUCAUAUCAAAGUUUUAGAUCAAUUGAACACCAUCUUACUAUCCAAAUUGAAGUGACACAAAAUUCAAGUGACACACAAUUUAUUUUUGUUCGUAGCAAAUAUUCCAACGGUGGUGGUGGUGCUGACUCACAUAUGGUAGAUGGAAGGAGAGAAAUUUGGCCCACUUGGGCCCACAUCAAACAUCUCGGAGUAGGUAGAUAGACGACUUGCGAUUUACAAAGUAGGGAAUUCAAUCACAAGUUAUAUUCAGACUCAAAUACCGAACGCAAGAUUAAUUAUUCAUACUAACCGAACCAUUUUGACCAAUCUUCAAACUUCAACUCUAAACAAAUGUCAAAUUAUUUUUAAAAUAGCAUGGUUUGUGUUACAAUUUGUAAGUGACGAAGUACUUGAUUUUUUUUUAAAAAAGAUUACUCCUCGUACGGUAUACACUGGCACUAAAUAUUCAGUUUUACCAACAGUACUGACGAUGGCCAUCAUAUUUCCUUAAUAUUUCUCUCGUAUAGACGAUGGUAAAUUUUAGUGCAAUUCAAUACCAUUCCAUAUGCUCGUCACUUCAAAAAAAGGGCAACCAGUCUCCACACGUUAUCAUUCCAUGUGAGAUUAAUUUCAGAGACAAAAAUACUUGAAUUUGAAAUGGGAAUUCACAGGCAACAUCGAUUUUUCCUUCGACUAUACCACUAAUAUACACAGUUAUCCGCUAGCUAUAUGAUUAUGUGUUUGAAACGAAAACUCAACUAUUUUGUCAUCUGUUAUGUACGAUCUAAACCGUGACUGCCGGAGUUGGGAGCUCCGGUAUGCCACCCUGGCUGUUGAGCACGAUGACCUUCCCCUCUGAGUCAACAUCCACAAUGGCAGAGUCACCCUCCUUGACCUCCCCAGCGAGCAUCUUCUCCGCAAGGCUGUCCUCCAGCAGCCUCAUGAUAGCCCGCCUCAACGGCCGUGCACCGUAGCUGGGGUUGUAGCCUUCAUCCACCACCCGCUCCUUGAACUUCUCAGUAACCUGCAGGUUGAUGUCCUUGGCCUUGAGUCGGUCGAAGACCUCCUGGAGCAUAAUAUCCGCGAUCUCCUUGACCUCGAGCUUGGUGAGCUGCCUGAAGACGAUCAUCUCAUCGAGACGGUUGAGGAACUCGGGGCGGAAGUACUGCUUCAUCUCCUCAAUGACGAGGCUCUUGAUCCUGCCAUAGCUGCUGUCCUUCUCGUCGGAGUCGAGGUCAAAACCAAUCUUACGCCCACCCUUCUCAAUGACACUGCUCCCGACGUUCGAGGUCAUGAUUAGGAGGGUGUUCUUGAAGUCCACUGUUCUUCCCUUGCUGUCGGUCAACCUCCCGUCUUCCAAAAUCUGGAGCAUCAUGUUGAAGACAUCAGGGUGUGCCUUCUCAAUCUCAUCAAAGAGCACAACUGUGUAUGGGCGCCUUCUAACUGCCUCAGUCAGUUGGCCACCCUCAGUGUAUCCAACAUAUCCUGGAGGUGAACCGAUCAGCUUGGAAACUGUGUGCCUCUCCAUGAAUUCACUCAUAUCAAGCCGGAUCAUAGCCUCCUGAGAGCCAAAGUAAUAGGCAGCAAGGGCCUUAGCGAGCUCUGACUUCCCAACACCGGUGGGACCUGCGAAGAUAAAGCUUGCAAUCGGCCUGUUGGGGUUCUUGAGGCCCACACGAGCACGGCGAAUGGAACGACUAAUAGCUACCACAGCCUCAUCUUGGCCAAUGACACGUUUGUGCAAAGUCUCUUCCAUCUUAAGAAGCUUAUCAGAUUCAUCACUGGAAACCUUCUCCACUGGAAUGCCAGUCCAUGACGAUACUAUGUGCUGGAUAUCUGCUUCAUUAACCAUAGGUCCUGUCUCUCCAGAUUCCUCCUCUGCUUUGCUCAUCUCUUUGCUCUUGUCAAUGAAAGCUGUUAUCUGGGCUUUCAAUUCCAUUUCACGGUCUCGCAGCUCUCCAGCCUAAUGGCAAUACCCAAAAAAGAACAGAAUUUAGCUGUGAGCAUUGGGGAAAAAGGUACACACAAUUAAGUAAACAAAAGUACAGGCAGAAAGGCAGAGCAUAGGCAUCAACAUAUGUAACGAAAGCAGGGAAAACAGUUAAAUAAACAAAGGCAGAAUCAGAGACAAGUGAAAUUGCACGUUAUCAAAUUUUAAAGUCAAGUGAUAACUAUUUAAAGUCAAAUAAACAAUUUUAAAGUCAAGUGAAAUAAACAAUUAAAUUUUACUCUCACUGACAAGUGAUAACUAUUUAAAGUCAAAAGUGCAGCAAUUUUUUUUAACUCGUAUAUUACAUCUUAAAAUGGAAAAUAGAGAAUAUCACUCAAAUAGAACACUGAUGAAAGGAACAAGAAUUGCUGAAUCAUCCAAAAGUAUCUGUCAUCUACCAACUAUAUAUCUAAAUAUUUUGUAUAUACAAGUGAAUGUUUUCCAUAAAGCAGUUAUGGUGGAUGGAAGUUAUGGAGUAAUAUCAUCUGCCAGGAGGAGAGGCCUGGUACCAUUUCAGUUUGCAUCACAACAUGAAAUAGAUGUGAAAUUUAGUAAACCUAGUCAGUUACCUUUUCAAAAUCCUGGCUACGAACAGCUUCAUUCUUCUGUUUUGUGACUUGUUUGAGCUCUUUGUCAAGCUCUCUUGCUUCCUCAGGAACCUGCACUAAAAGUUCGAUUUAAAAUUGUUUUGGGCAUGCAAAAAUUAAGCAUAAAAAAUAAACGAAAGCAGAUGCCUCGGGAUACUUUUACCUGUGCAUGCUGUAGCCUAACACGGGAACCUGCUUCAUCAAUCAAGUCAAUUGCCUUGUCCGGGAGGAAACGAUCACUGCAAACAAAAUAUGCUGUCAGGUGAUGAUAAAGAUGCAGCAUAGUAGCAGAGUUAAAUCAUCCAUGAACAUAGUCAGAAAUGAAGUGCACUAGUUUCUCUGAGAUGUUAGCUAAGGUUCCAGGGUAUUUUGCUUGUACUUGUUUACAUGAUCAGCUGAAGUGACACACCUGAUGUAUUGAUAUGAAAGCUUUGCAGCUGCAAUCAGAGCUUCAUCAGUGUAACGAAGUUUAUGAUGGAUCUCGUAUCGUUCCCUAAGUCCUCUGAGAAUUUCUAUGGUUUCAUCUACUGUUGGCUCUGGCACUUUCACGGGUUGGAAACGCCUUUCCAGGGCUGGGUCUUUCUCAAUGUGCUUCCUAUAUUCAUCAAGUGUAGUCGCUCCAAUGCACUGAAAUUAGACAUAACAAGUUGGUUGUAACAACCUCAAGACAAGGAAGAGCGAUGAAAAAACUCAUGUUGAAGGAAAAGAAGAUACUUCACUUGCGCAAAAGAAAAGAAAACAGAAAAUUAACCACAACAUAGGAACAUGUAAUCUUAUCUACGCACCUGUAGUUCACCUCUUGCUAAUGCUGGCUUCAAAAUGUUAGCAGCAUCGAUAGCACCUUCUGCUGCUCCUGCUCCUAUCAGAGUGUGAACUUCAUCAAUAAAGAGUAUUAUCUCGUCACUUUGCUUGAUUUCUUCCAUCAGCUUCUUUAAUCUUUCUUCGAAUUCUCCACGGUAUUUUGUGCCAGCAACAAGAAGUCCCAUGUCAAGGGUAAUGACCUGCGGUAAAUUGGUUGAAGAAAUAUCCAUCAUUUCCUCACAAUCUCAUCAAAAGAAUGCAGAAACAAAGCAGAAAAAUAAAAGGUAUGAUCUUCAUAAUGUCUUCCAUAGAUUAAUCAGUUACAAAUUACAAUUCUAAUAUAACGUGUCGCAAAUAAGUAUGAAUACAGCAUACUUUGCUCUUUUAUUUGCUCAAUUAUUGUUGGGGUCAGUGCAGAUGAUUAGAAAAUUCUACAACAUUUUGAAUGCUUAAAUAUAGGGCUAAUAUGACUCGAAAUAUCAAGCAGGCUCUUCAAUGAUUAACAUUGUACCUACAUACUAGAAUGCCAACUGUACGGGGCUACUCAACUAAAAUGAGAAAGAAAAGAGCAAUAUGUGCAUGCACCCUCAUGUAGAGUAGCAUAAAUAUGCCAUACACAACAAAACAGAAGUGCAUAAAAGCAAAAGCUUAUUCCUAAGCUCAUAUGUUCACAUAAGUUGCAGAAUCAAUUAAGCAAAAUAGUAAAAAUAGAAACAUAUUGUGUAUUUGCUCCGAAAUGAUGCAAAAGAGGCUACCUUUUUCCCUUCUAUUGUUUCAGGCACAUCGCCUGUAGAAAUGCGUUGAGCCAGUCCUUCAGCAAUUGCAGUCUUUCCAACACCAGGCUCUCCAAUCAAGCAGGGAUUGUUCUUCGUUCGUCUACCUAAAAUUUGUACCACACGCUCAAUCUGUGGCUGCCUACCAACAACAGGAUCUAGCUUUCCCUGCAGAUAUGAUAAAUAUUACUGAAUACUUCUUUUCCAGCACUUGUGCUUAUUAUAAUACAGGAGGACAGAAAAAUUACCUCUUCUGCUAAUUUUGUUAAAUUAGUUCCAUACUCCUCGAGCGUAGGCAUCUUAUUACCACUACUCCCUCCUCCAACUCCAGCACCAACAGCUUCUGUGGUCUCACCAAUCAUUCGGAUAACCUAGAGAUCCAUGAUAUUGAAAACAUGCUAAUUAAACAAAAUUUGUUUUCAAACAGAGUACUUCAUCAUUUUAGAAACAGACACCAGAUAUAGUUUACCUGUGUACGGAUAUUGCUGGGGUCAGCUCCGAGACUCUCAAGUACACGAGCCGCCACACCUUCACCCUCACGAAGCAGUCCAAGAAGCAGGUGCUCAGAUCCAAUAUAAUUGUGUCCUGGAAAGGGAAGCGUUUAGUGCUCGAAAAAAAUCUUAUACAGAACUUGUCAAAAAUCAAGUGCACUAUGAUACGAUACAUAGAAGGAAAUGGUAUUCUGGUUAAGAUAAAUGUCUUGACAAUUAUCAACAUAGGAAGUAAAUCCACCAUAAUAAAUGAGAAAGCAGGGUGGGAUGAUUUUACAUAUACAAUUGGUCAAUGACAAAUAUUUUUUUUUACAAUAGACAAAGCAAGACAAUGGAUUCAAUUCCAUCUUAAGACCUGAAUUGUUAAAAGGGACAAAAGUAAUAUAUUGGAUGAUGCAAAACAAACAGGCCCGUAAUGAUGCAAAUAGCCAAAUAUGCAUAAUGAAGAUACAAAAAUAGCAAUGCGAUAAGGUUAUUCUAUGAGAUUAUGAUGCCCAUUGCACACAUUCACAACUUCCAUUCCUUAAAAAGUGGCACGAUAGACAAAAAUGGAAGAUCAAUUGCAUACAAAUAGUGCAAUGACCUGUCCAUUAUCAAAUCAGGAUCCCUCUUAUGUCAGUUAAGAAUGAUGUGUCGAAUACAUUUAAGGGAAACUGCACUUGUAUCUAUGUCAAGACGCCAUUUGAUAUCUUCAUAUCCAAAAGUCCACAAACUCUACCCAAUAUUUUCAGCAAAAUCUUUCAUUAAAAGAAAAGGCUGUCUGGGAGCUUUUUAUCAGGACUCACUAGAAAAAAUGCCUAAAUCUGGAAGUAAUCAGAAAAGGAAACUCCAUUCUGGGGCUACAAAAUGUUGGUCAACAGAGACAAUCCUUCUAGAUUUUAAUCUGAUGCAAGUUGCAAAUUAAGGAAAUAGAAGACAAGACAAAAGGGUAUCACAAGAACCAUGAGAAGCAUACACAGUUGGCAAUUCCUUCUAGUUUGAUUUAGUUCUAGCAGUUAAUUAGAGCGAAUAGGAACUGAAAUUUAAGGCAUCAGGGUAAGGAAAAAAAAAAGAAAAAGAAGCCUUGAUUAACCUACCUAAUUGGCGAGCUUCCUCCAGUGAGAGCUCCAAAACACGUUUAGCGCGUGGUGUGAAUGGUAUUUCAACAGCAACAAAGCCAUUGCCCCGCCCAAUGAUCUUUUCCACUUCCACACGUGCAUCCUUGAGAUUUAUACCCAUGGACUUGAGCACCUUUGCUGCAAUACCAGUCCCCUCUCCGAUCAGACCUAAGAGAAUCUGCUCGGUACCAACAAAGUUGUGGCCCAGGCGCCUCGCUUCCUCUUGCGCAAGCAUGAUGACCUUAAUAGCUUUCUCCGUGAACCUCUCAAACAUCGCCCGAGUAACAAAGCGAGAACGUCUUGUCCGUCGAGAGGAUCUGUAAGAUGCAACUGCCGACCUGGAAUUGGACACCGUUGGUGUCACCGAGAAGCUAUGUACUGAUCUUAGGCCGACGAAUGCUGACAUCUUGACAGGGCGGCUAAGAGACAUUGCCAACAUAGAGGCAGGCCUCCUGGUGCCAUGGGACCUCCAUCGCUGGGUGCUUAUGCGACCCCCGAACGUUGUUCCAAGGGCAACUGACUGGAGUAAAGUCCCUGCCAUGGUCAGAAGUGCUGCCCCUUAACCUGUGCAAAGACAUUAGAUAGUUUAGGAAUAGUUAAUACCAAUCCUCCAAAAAUCUCAGAUGGACACAAUGACUGAAAUCAAAACAUUCACAGCAGUACAGCCAAUUUUCGAAAUUUCACCCAUCCUCCAGUUAAUACCCCAAACAAAUCACAAAAACAAACUGUGCUAAAAGUUGGAAAAUAAAGUGCGCUACAGAACUCCGCUUCCUACCAAAUUAAUCCGUAAAAUCUGGAUGGACAUGGACUGUACAUCCGCAAAAGAAAGAAACAUUUGGAUUUGGGGGGAAAGACCUGUUCCCCCGGUUACAGAAAGGGAUCGCAUCCAUGAACUGCGCCCAUCGAUCGAAUUAAAUAAUGUUUCAACCUCACAUUGGCAUCGGUUAUAACUAAAGAGGGAGAGGGAGAUCAGCCAUGCAUCUUAUCCAGAACCAAAACAGAAUAAAAAUCAAAACUUUUUCCACAAAACAAUCUACAGAUUCAGGGUCAGGAAUCACAGCCCACCCCCGACAACCGGUGAUUGCCCAUCCAUCAAUCGAAGAACGCGAAUCCUCGAUGAGAGUUUCGGGCACGCAACCAAGAACAAGAAAUUACCCAAUCGCAGAACGAGGAAUUCAGAGAGAGAGAGAGAGAGAGAGAGAGAGAGAGAGAGAGAGAGAGAGAGAGAAGCGAUGGUGGCGCUCACCUCCGAGGAGAGAGGGGAGGAGGUGGUGGAAGGGCGGUGCGUUGGUGUUGCGUCCUCCCCUGGUCCCUGGAGAUAAGGGGGCCGCUUGCUUGGCUUUGGCUGAGUGCCCAACAAAAAAGAGAACACAAGAUUGUUCUCCCCCUCCCUCUCUUUCUCCUCCUUUCGUCCAGGCUCCUGAUUCUGCCUUUUGUCUGUUUCCUAAGUUUUCUAUUUUAUGUUUUCUGCAUUUCUGAGGAUGGGAAUUUUUUGACAAUUCGGCAAUUUUGUUCGUGCCAUGCACUGCGAUAGAUAUUUUUUUGGGGGUAACAGAUUUUUUUCCCAUUGUGAGAACAGAAUCAGCGGUGUUCUUGAGUGUUUGCAUUGCAAAUGUUUGGGGGACAAACAGUAUUGUUGACAAAAUUGACUUAGGACUCCAAAGAAAAGGAAGCACAUUUAUUUUAAUUUUCUCUCUAUUAUAUUUAAAUUGUACAUAAGAAAAAAAUUUAGAUGAUGGUGGAGCCCAAGUGGCAUGGUUCAGCAUGACCGAGAAUUAGAUCAAAAUUUCAUAGGACCACCUUCUUCAAUGUAGGGUGGAAUGCGAUUCGAGUGCAUCCAAGUUCAUGAUGAAAACAAACAUUUAUAAAAAAAAAAACUUAAAGCAAUGAGUACCUAACGCUUAUUUUUUUCAGAAAUAAAAUGAUUGAAUCCCAGUAUAGAGUACGGCAUGUAGACUGGAGCUACAUUCACAUAUGCAAACUAACAACCCACUGAUGUUACCCGAAAGAGGAAUGAAAUAGUACAAAAUACUUUUCUCUUGCCAAACUGUAAGCAUCAAUGCGUUCAGUCACAUAACAAACCAUUUCGUCUCAUACACAUUUCUCUUUCUGAUCUUUUACAGCGAUGUGGUCGGCAGAUAAGAUGAAUAUACACGCACACAAAAAUCUUGACAUGGGCACUGUUGAGAUGGGUGUUCCUUCUCCUUGACGCCGGCGCCAGAGCUUCGUAGGCCAUCAGUUUCUGAACAGAAGAGUUUUGUAGUGUGCGCUUCUGCUACGGAAGCGACAGCUUUCAAGCUUUUGGUGACAUCUGAAUCCACUCACUGAAUCUGAACGAAAUUUUGAGAACCUCUGAAAUCUGAAUAGUUCUCCGCCUGCCAAACAAGCCGCCACGCCCACGGGACGAAUUCUCUGAAGAACACAAGUGCCACUUGUACUGCUGCACUUGCUCUUACGGAUGCAGACAUACGUCUUUGCAAACUUGGACAACAACCAUGCUGCAAGGAAGGCUGCUGAUUGCCUUUGCUACAACGUACUGUGGCAUGGUAUCGUACAGAAGGCUGCUGAUAGCUACAGAACUAUGGAAGGACCUAUGCAGAUGGCUCAUGCUUGAUUGUUGUAUCAUGACAUUUUGGAGACAGCCAUAGACUGAAUUGGUAAUCUGGAGAAUCCAAACCGAUGCCUUCAUGGCCAUCAAACUCAUCCAAUCCAAUCAACUCUUCGAUCCGACUCUUUUUGUCCGCUAGUUUUUGGGUGUCGCGUGCUCCAGUCUCUUUAAGAGGUUGAUCUGUCUGUAACUUUGGAGCGCUGACCCUUCUUGGGGCGCCAAGUUUCAAGUGAGGCGGCCUUCUUCUCUGACAGUUGCUUGGCACCUGGUGACUGGAGGGUGCAGACGCUUUUGUUGUCCUGCUCAACCUGGAGGGAACUGCUGGCGCCUUCUGAAUCUUCGCUUGAGAGGAGGCUUUGGUUCCUUUUGUGCCUGAAUUGGUAGUCCCUCUAUGCAGUUCAGCGCUCUUCUUUGCUGAAGCAAGUUUGUUCUUAUGGAGCCUCUGCAAGACUGGAUUUAACUGACGAACUUCAGCAUACCCAAUAUCCAUUGUGUUUCUACGAGGCGACACACUGAGAAAUUUGUCAAAUUCAGGACUGUUGUAGCAAGUGCGCUCAAAUGGCCAGAAUAUUGGCUCAUCAGAGUCGUUAGCUUCUUUCCUUUGCGAUGUUCCUGCACUAGAACUGGGAGGACCACAUUGGAGGCUUCUGACUGCACUGAAAGAAGGACUGGGAAAGUCAGAAUCGAGAAUAUCAAGAAACUGUUCCUUGCCUGGCAGCAAAGCAGAAUCCUCUGCAUCAAGAUCUAAAGAAGAGACCCAUAUAUCUGUUCUGUCAAGAUCCUCAGACUGAGUAUCUGACUGUACUGUGAAUGGUGUACUUGGGGUACUGAUUGUAGAUGACUGCUCGCUGAAAGAGCUAUCAUAUGAAGAAUCACCACACUCCGAGUCUGAAAGGACAAAGGGAAAGCCAUUCUUUUCAAGUCUCCAUCUAAUCGCCUCCUCCUCAGUUGCAUCCCGCUUAAGACUCUUUAGUGGCAAAUUAAGGAUGGCUGAUGAAACCUCCUUGUCAGGACAAGGAGAAGUUGCAAUUUCCACCCUGUGCAUGAUGACAUCAUUGGAACUAUACAAUGAUAACUGCAUCAAGAACUGAUUAUGAAGUGAAGUUGCCUUCUUGUCAAGCUCAGAACCAUCAAAAUCAUGGGUCCCCUCGCUGUCCUUCAUUUUAUGUCACCCUAAAAGAUUGAUUCGACCUAGCAUUGACAGAAAUAAGAACUGUUAGUGGGAAAUCGGCAAACACUAGCAAAGCUAUUGAGUUUUUCCAGGAAAACAAUAAGAAAAUGGUAGCACCUGCAGUCAAGACAAGGUAUUGCAGACAAACCAGAAGGAAGAUAAGCCAGAAUCACACCUUACAUAUUGGAUUGAAGUAUCCAUUAACAUUGUGACAUCGAUGUUACACAAGCAAUUAAUAUCGGCAAAUCAAGUUGACAGGAUCAAACUAAUGUGUUCUGCUAUGAUAAAUAAGUGACUCAAAUGAAACAAUCUUGACUUCACAUCAUACAUGACGUAAUUAAUUUUUCAUAUUUCAGUAUUCUGAAAAGUAUCCCCACAGAAUGUGUCACUGUAUUUGUUAUUCAAAGGCACUUUCUCACAAUUGACCAGGAUUUUAUAUCUGAUCCACUUCCUAACACAACACUGCUUUUGCUAACCACUUCAGCUACAUGUGGACUUUUAUAUAUAAAGAAAAGGAACCUACUCCCAUCUACGAAAGUGCCCUAAUGUCCGGGUGUUGUUUUCGGUAUAUCACUAAACAAGUUCAGGUGCCCCAAUAAGGGGGAAAAUUCCAUUUCUUUAGUGGUCAGAUAAAUUCUGGAAAAAGAACUACACCAAAUAACCAAUGGACCACUAAAAUCAAACUGAGGCUCUAGUCAAGGAAACAGGCAGGCUUGUGUCAUCAGUUCUCGCAGUACUUCAAGGAAACUAAGUCCAUUCACAUAAUGACAGGCUUUCAUAGUGAUCUCAGAAAUGGUCACUUGGUCAGAGUAGAGAAGGUGAGAUAGUGAUAUGCAAAGAAAUUUGCUUUCGUUUCAAACGUAAAUAUUGACAUUAUGACCGCCGCUCAGAUUACACAAUGAUGCAUUUGGACAUGUGGAAAUUUUAUGCGGGGUUAAACUUUACUCCAGUGAUGUUUUUAGGGGGAAAUAUAUUAGGAAACGAGACCCCCAAAGUACUCUGUUCCUGAUGCUAAAUGAAAAUUAAGAAUUUCUGUUGUUGAAGUAAACUCACCCAGCAAUCCCCAAUAGUUUCAGAGUUACACCAGCAUGCAGAAAUCAUUUACUUUAUAUAAAAGCUCGUGAAGAUGAAGUGCUUUUUUCCGUGAUAAACCAGUCUGCUUACUCCUAAUCAAGCUAACAACUCUGCUCCUAACCAAGAACUCAACAUGCAGAAAAUUUCCCCCUGAUUUCAGAAUCCACGACACGGAGGUACGAAACCAUACCCUUUCUAGCAAUAGGGAUACAGAAGGGAGACAACAGAGAAAGAACUGAAAGCUGAAAGAAAACCACUGCGAGGGCACUGUCUUCGAGGUUAAAUUCGGGAAAAAAAAAGAAAGGAAGAUGGGUGAAGUAAGCGACCGAAGAUGUAUACAGUUUGGCGGAUGAUUCUGAACUGAAAGAAGAAAGGGAGAGAGAAGAAUUUCUACCUGAAUCUGGCGCGCCUGGACGAGAAGCCGCCACACCCUUUUGCUCGGCUUCUUUCUCCCGCCGCCGCUCUCCCUCCGUCGAGGGCGGUUUUGAAUGAACCCCCUCUGGUUUUGGUAGCGAUUUCUUCUUGUUUGGACCUCGGAUUCCUUAGGGUUGACAUGUGGAUCCUCAGAAUUCAGGUGAUUUUCUUUUUGUAACCGGCCAGGCAGGGGGUAUUCGUGGUGCUCGUGUGAAACCGAUCGCAUCUGGGCCACCAAAAUUAUACAGCAUAUCUUUCUUUUCCUAAAUGUUCUGUGAUCACUUUCCAUAAGUUAUUGUUCUCUCCAAUGCUUUCCAUAAAUUCUUGGCAUUGUCGAAAUGUUAAGGGGGCGCUGAGGUCUUAUGCUCGGGUUUGACCAUGUUUGCCGGGCUAGUCUAAUAGGAUAUGCUACUUGCGUUAAGAAUCUUGCAGAGAUAGUAUGGUUUAAUCUCUACUAUAAAAAAAAAAGCAAAGAGGACACAAAAAUGCGGUCCGUCGUUAGGCCGUCGGACGAUGUCCCUCGCUCCGGAUAUUUUGAGCCGUCCGCUUCCACUACCCUCCGCGCGGAGCCGUUCAUCUGGAAAUUCCGUGAGUUGCGGCGCACGCGCUUCCUCUUCCGUCUGUUUCCCUCCGCGCGGAUCCAUCCGCCGCCGCCACAACUCUCCCUCAGUCGCCCAUCGCCAUCCCACCCCUUCCUUUCCUCGCCUCUGCGCUGCCAGAAGCCGCAGCCGGCGCAGCCACUCCCUCCGUCGCCCGUCACCAUCCACCGCCCCUCCCUUUCCUCACCUCCGCACCGCUAGAAGCCGCGGCCCCAUCCUGAGUCGCCGCAUCGCCGGCAUCGCCGCAAGCGGCUCCGCCCCUCCCUGAGUCGCGGAUCCAUCCGCCGCCGCCACAACUCUCCCUCAGUCGCCCAUCGCCAUCCCGCCCCUCCCUUUCCUCGCCUCCGUGCCGCCAGAAGCCGCUGCUGCCGCCAACACUUCCUCCGUCGCCCGUCGCCAUCCUGCCGUCGCCAUCCACCGCCGCCCCUCCCUUUCCUCGCCUCCGCGCCGCCAGAAGCCGCAGCCGGCGCAACCACUCCCUCCGUCACCCGUCGCCAUCCACCACCCCUCCCUUUCCUCACCUCCGCGCCACUAGAAGCCGCGGCCCCAUCUUGAGUCGCCGCAUCGCCGCAAGCGACUCCACCCCUCCCUGAGUCGCCGGCCGGAUCUCCGCAGCACGCCAAAUGCCUUUUGUACUUCUUCAGUUCGUCAGGUCUGAUCACGGUACUUAUUAGUUUCUUUGAUUGUCGUGCAUCUGAACUUUGUGUGACGUUCAUGUUUUGUUUGCAGCAACUCUCAGUUGCCGCCCGCACGUCGUCUCCCUAUCGCCGCAUGUCCUGGUAAAUCCUGUAGGCCAAUCAAGGUGAGGCCAUUCUCCUCUUCCAUCCAGAACAUGUGAAUUCAUUUGCCUUGUGUUCAAAUGCAGAGGUUGUACACAUAUAUUAGAUGAGAGCCGCUUGAUGACUCCGGUUAGCAGAUCUUUUGGGCACCAGUUUGGGUAUGAGUAAUGCCUUUUCUCACAUCGAGAAUGUUUCAUUUGAUCAUAUCAUUCUGUAGUUUAACUUCGCUAAUAUCAAUACAGUAGCUGGUUGUUCAUCAGCCCUAAAGCACACGCUGCAUUAAACGCUUGCAGACAAGGUGCUCACACAAGAGUUUUUUCGAUUUUAAUCAAUAAUUUUGUGUUAUUAAUUUCGAUUCUGCCUUGCCUUCCUGUCAAGAAAAGGCUUCAUGAUCAUUUGAGUUACAACUACAAGUCAUUUUUUUUGCUACUUUCAAAGGAGCAACUGAUAUAAAUUGAUGGUUUUAUUAUCCUUUAAUAGGUACUGAUUUGUCAUGUGCAGGCUUCAGAAGAGCAACUGUUUUUGGUACAAGCUAGGAGCGUGAGGGGAAACUCAGCCUGUUCUUGAUCAUCUCAUGUAAGAAGUUUGAUUCUUGCUUUACAUAAAUGAGUAGCCGGACCUUACAAGACUGAAUAUCCUUUCACUAUCAUCAUUGCUCUUUGUUUGAUCCCACUUGUCUUGGUCUGACAAUCGAUUUUGUAUUGUCUACUUAGUGCUUAGUGUCUAAAUCAAUUGCCACUGUUGAUGUGUGUAGAUAUAGUUCAGAAACCAAAAAUAAAAUGCAGCUGCUAUGGUCCAAUUCUGAGUAUACGCCCGACCCUUGGUCCCGGGGUCGGAUGCGCCCGACCCCUUGAGGGUGGAACUCCGCCUCGCCCGACCCUUGGUCCCGGGGUCGGAUGCGCCCGACCCCUUGAGGGUGGAACUCCGCCUCGCCUGACCCCGAGUGAAGCUCCGCCUCGCCCGAUCCUGAGUCCUAGGGUCGGGAGUGUCCGACCCCUGAGCGGAACGUUGGAGUAGUCCGAGGCUAUUUUUCAAAAAAACCCCUGACAUUUCGUGAUAUCAACCCGCAGUCCAAUUCUGAGUAUACGCCCGACCCUUGGUCCCGGGGUCGGAUGCGCCCGAUGAUAGAGUCGGAGUGCCCGAUCUUUCGGUGAGUGGAGAUAAAUUCGACUUGGUGGAAGUAGACCCUCACGAUCCGACUACGACGAGCGAACCCGAAGCGCCAAUGCAAUCGCUGAACCAACUCCCGAUGGUUACCAACCUCGCCGGUGCGAGAUCAGCCUGAUCACGAAGAUCGAUUCCUGUCCGCAAUCGAAGAACGAACAAGAACAAGAGGCGAGCAAUCUAAAUAUCACUCGAAGGUGGAGUUCUGAAUCAACAAGGACAGCGCGUAUUUGCGCGUGUUCAAGAGUAGCUAAAGCUAGAUGUAAAACAAAACUCAAGUCGUAAACAAAAAGGACUCGGACUAAAUAAAGGGGGCGCAGCCCCUGGAGUCCCAAGGGGUCACGGCGCCCAACCCUAGGCGCCCCACCUGGGCUGCCCUGUUGGGCCAUCUUCUUAUUCCGAUGGGCCUUCGUUCCUUAACAGCAUGAUGAAGUUUAAUUCUCUCGCACGGGCUCGAGUGAUUGGCCCAACUGGAUGAGCAACUGUAGGCGCCUGAGGUGGAGGAGCAACUGGAGGCGCCUGAGGUGCUGCUGGUGUAGAUGUACUCGUGGUGUCCUCAUCCCCUUGAGGGUGGAACUCCACCUCGCCCGACCCUUGGUCCCGGGGUCGGAUACGCCCGACCCCUUGAGGGUGGAACUCCGCCUCGGCCGACCCUUGGUCCCGGGGUCGGAUGCUCCCGACCCCUUGGUCCCGGGGUCGGAUGUGCCCAACCCCUUGAGGGUGGAACUCCGCCUCGCCCGACCCCGAGUGAAGCUCCGCCUCGCUCGACCCCGAGUCCUGGGGUCGGGAGUAUCCGACCCCUGAGCGGAACGUUGGAGUAGUCCGAGGCGAAGAAGGCACGUAUACAAUGAACAAAAAGGUAGUUCAGAGAAGAAGAAAAGGGUACCAACAGUAGAUGGCACGUAUACGAAGAAUAUUGUAUACAAGGAGGUUCUAACACCUUAGGCGAGGUAAUAUAAUGAUUAUUCGUGCGUGUCUUACACUUUUCAUUUAUUUUUUUUAAAAUACUUAACUCAUCAAUUUUAUGUUUCUUUGGUCUUGGCGGUUGCUAGACUUGAGUGGCAUUUUCACUGUGUUUUUCUGUGGUAUUGUGAUGCCACACUACACUUGGCAUAAUGUGACAAAGAGCUCAAGAGUGACAACCAAGUAAUCAUACUCACUCCAUAAUUUAUUCCACCAGUAAUGUUCAUAGCAAGUUAAAUAAAAAGAUACCAAUUGAUUUUCUUUGGACUUUUUUAUCUACUCAGGCAUGCCUUUGCAACUUUGUCCUUCAUUGCUGAGAUUUUUCUUUUCAUGUAUGUUGGUAUGGAUGCGUUUGAUAUCGAAAAGAGGGAGUUUGCCGGUGACAGGUCAGUUUAAUGCACUUUCUAAAACUGGCUGGUCCGCAACUUGUUCAGGUACUUUUAUGUUAAGAGAUGUUGACAACAAUUCUAGGAUUAUCUUGCAUUUCAAAUUUGAAUGCACUCAAAUAUCAUAUCGAUUCUCUACUCAAAUCAUUUUAACACUUUAUUUUUGCGUGAUGGAAGGGUUACAGUUGGUCCUGAUAAAGUAAUAAACAACUUAUUUACUUAAUUCUACUGUGUGAAAACUUUGAUUUCCACUGCAAACUCUGCAAUGUUUUUGGGUCUAAUGAUGACAUUUUGGGUAUUGCAUUAGAUCAGGAUAUGUUUUGGAUCCAUUAUUUGCCUCAUAAUGGUUAACCGUGUUCUGUGAAAUGUUGCUGGGUCCAAACAGCAAGCACCAGUAAAUAACAACAUUUUUGUGAACUGUUGCAGAUGUUCAUCGGUGAUGGAGCCAAGCUUGUUCGAGAUGCUUUUCAGCUGGCCAAGGAGAAAGCCCUCUGCAUCAUAUUUUAUUGAUGAAAUUGAUGCUAUUGGAACAAAGCGUUUUUCAUCUAUCUUCUGGCGCACGAAGCGAAUGCCUGUAGGACAAGACUACCAGGCAUUGUAAAACAUUUUUUUUGUGCAUCACAUGCAAAAAAAUAGGAUAGAUGGGGUGGCAUUUGGAUGACCUGUUUUAUAUUUAUUUCACGAAUCCAAUCUUGGAUGAUAUACUUAUUUCAUAUUUAUACAUGUUUUAUAUUUUUAUUAUCCUGUUGAAUCCAAUAUUUUACAAUAUAAAAAUUUUGUUGCCCGUAGCAACGCACGGGCACGAUCACUUUUAAAAAAAAGAUUUGAAGAGAUUUCAGAGAUGGACAGAGAAGCUGUUGCGUGUUUUGCUGGCCCAACUCAUGUCCUCCUAAGACCCAUUAUUCGGUUCCGUUUUGGGCCAUGGUCGCGUACCAGCAGCCUAAGCCGGCGACAUCACAGCCCACUCGCUUGCCCCGAUUCCUUACUUGGGCCAGUUUCAUUUGUACCUGGAUGAAGUCUUCCCACCAGUCGAGAAGCCUUUUCUCGCAGUCGCGCAGGCGCGCAGCCUGGGAGCUGCUAGGCGUCACUUGAGGCGACAAAAUCGCUAACCAACGCCUCAAGACGACGCGGUCCACCAAACAGCCCAUGAAGGCUGGACAACGCGCCACCGCUGCUUCCCCUCCUCCUCCACAUAGCCCUCCUUCAACAUCUCCGGCAGUUCCCACCACCACCUUAACCUGAUGCUUGCCGUCACGCCCCCGCCUCCUCCACCACCCACCAACUAUCCUCCACCACCCGAGACUGGCGGCACCCCGCCCUGCCCACAACCCAUCGUUGCCGUCGAUCCGCCGCCGCCUAAGGCCCUCCCUCUAUAGCCGGGACUCAUCAGAGACCCCACAUCCCCAGCAGCACGAACUCGAAGCCCCUAACCCCAAACCCUAACCCUACCGGUAGCCACUCACCGGAGAACUCACACCCCGCCCCCGCCCAGUCCCUGCCCACCAGCUAUCAAGAUGCCACCCUCCCGAUGCGAUGGCAGCCCCACCACUACGCUGCCCCACAACCCACCUCCGCGCGCCGGGCUUCCCUGCUCCCCCAUCCACCCCUUUUCUAAGGUCGGAAUGGAGCUCCCCAAUAACCCCGUGCCCAAAUACCCUAACCUAGCGGCACGGCGGCGCCGGCUGCGAGCGGAGAUCGAGCCAACGAGCAGAGGCGGAAGAAUGCAGAGGAGGAGGUGUUGCUGACAAGCGGGAUCCAUAUAUAUGCAACAUAUAGUUAUCUGUCGCAUAUGCAACAUAUAGUAUCCACGCGCAGCCUCGCGUACCCCGCCUGACCAACAACGCAAGCUUAAGCUACAUCCUCAAGCACCACGUCGACACGGCGAAGAUGACGUCGGUGAAGCUCCCGGCGAGCCUCCGCUGGCAUGCAGCCUCCGCCGCGCAUACACUCAGAGCAGCAGGUCCUCCUGGCAACGGCAUCGGCGGAAGACGAGCUGUGCGUGCUCGUUGCCGAGAGGGAGAAAGAUAUUGGUUGCGCGGAGCAGUCGUCGUCUAGGUGGAAGACGCAGCCGCGGGCGGUGAUAGAGAACGAGAUGAUCGUGUCCUUCACCAAGGUGAACGGGCUGAUGGAGAAGAAGACGGGAGCAGCUCAAUUGAAGUGGAUUGCGUCAUUUAUGAAGUGAGUUUGUGUAAAACCGUGUGACUGCUCCCAUAUCUCUAUUAAUUAUUUUGCUUUUUUCAUGCACUACUUUCACCCGGCUGCGGCUUGUGCUGUGUUGAACGCUGGCUGCAGCAACAGCAGCGCUGCAGCUGUGCAGCCAGCACUAUGGGUCAAAGUUGAAGGAUGGCGACUCGACACUUGGACAGCCGGCCGGCGGGCGGCGGCAGCUAACAAUCUCGAUUGGUAACUAGGAAAAAAAAUCUAGUACAAGUCCUUAGGCGGCAAGAGCUGCCAGGCGAGUCCAGACCUUGUUUGCAGAAAACAAGUUCUGCUAAAAACGCCGAGGAGCGGUUUUCUGGUUUUGUGGAGGUCAGGUUUUUCUCGUUUGCGAGUUAUGUUGGGAGAUCCAAACACGAUUUUAGGGGUAGUUACCAUAAAAUAGGUUUCGCGGAAACUAGUUUUCAUAAAACUACAGAUCCAUCCAAACAACAACUCCUCUUGCGUGGGCUAGGGCGGUUUGUCUUUGUCACGGGCGGCGGCGGCGACGUCCGAUGGGAACGGAAAAGGGAUCGCCGUCGCUUUCGUGCGACCUCCUUCGCGAGGUGCUCGCGCGCUGAGACCACGAGACCCUCGUCCGCUGCGCCGCCAGCAGCAAGCUGCUCUGCCGCUGCAUGCUGGAGCUGGACGACCCGGCCUUCCUCUGCCGCCGCGCCGCCGGCUUCGCCCCGUCCCUCCUCCUCGGCGUCUUCGACUCCCCGCGCGCCACGGGGACGCGCUUCGUGGAAUCCCCUGCGCCAACCGUCAUCCCCCGCGAGCCGAUCCGCUCCUUCCUGUCGGACAACGCCGACCUACUCAGAUGCUUCGAGGAGCCCGUCGCCUGCCACGGCGGCCUCCUUGUCCUCCGGCGGUACCGGUGUUCUACCGAACGCGGCGCCGUCGAUCUGUGCGCCUGCAACCCCAUGACCGGCCACCGCUGCUUCCUCCCGUCGCCUGAGGUCUACGCCUCAGCAGCCGCCAUCCUCAUCGGCGAGAACGCCGCGGGGAAUGGCAGCCCCUUCCAGCUGCUCGCCGUUGACCAGGUCUAUGAGAAUUGGGGACAUACCAUGGUUUACCAUGUAAGAAGCCAGCUCUUCUCGUCACCAGGACCUUUCCCGGCGACCUCGCCGGGCGGCACAUGGGGGCCCGUCAGCAGAAUUGCUCCCGGCGGCCCUGCCAAUAGCUUCAUGCCUGGAGAGUUCUCCGUUGGUCAUCAACCGCGUUGCAUACUGGAUGAACACAAGCUCCCUGGCGUGUCCUGGUUACAAUGCCUUCGCACUUGAUGUCGAUGGGGGAUGCGCAGAGCUGAUUAAGGGGCCAAGAGAGCUCGAAGGUCCACGUGAUGGACCAAAUGAUGUCUUGCUGGCGUUGACACCAGACCGGAGGCUGAGCUUUGUCGUCCUUGAGGAGCUAGUGAUAUCCAUGUUUGUGUUGUUGUCAGAGAGGUCCCGGAGCUGGGAACGGCGUGCGGUGGUGGUCCGGGAGGGGAUCCUUGCGCCGCCUCACUGGAUGCGCCUAGAUUGCUUCGGCGAGAGGAGUGGCACUGUGGUCAUUUGUAUGGGCUGCCAGCCCGGGCGGCUUCUGCUCAACCUUGAGACGAAGGAGGUGAUGCACAUGUCGCCGGAGCCAAAGGAGGAGAGCCUGGAGGGGCGGUGUCACCUCUAUGAGAUGGACCUUCCUCUCCUCACUGUAGCCCUCCUGAAAUCCCCAAAUUCAUGUGCUGCUUCAAGUAAAUUGUCGAUAAAGUUUGGCCAGGUGCUGGCAACUAUUGAUGAUACAGCUAGUGCUGAUGUUAUGCCUCGCAAGAUUUUCAUAGGAGCUAAUCUGCUUAAGGGGGAAAAGUGUAUUUUUGUAUUGUAAAAGUGUGACAUUCAUGUUUCAUGUUUCAUUUGGUGAAAAUCAACUCCUUAACUAAUUAAAUCGGUGCAUUUAUCAUCCUCACUUUAGUUUAAUAGUGAUUUAGUUGCAUCUAAUGGUGGUUUAUGUCACAUAAUCAUCUGAAUUAGAAUUUAAAUAAUUCAUGCCUAGCGUGUAAUAUGCUAGUCGAAGAUAUAAAAUUAAAAAAAUAAAUAAAUCCUCUAAAUUGCUUAUCCUAUAAAAAAAUUUCAGAAAAUUUAAUGGAAUUGAUUCUCACCGAACUAUUAGCAAUUGAUUCAACAUUAGAUAUUGCUAAACAUUUGAUGUUGCUAAUCAGUAUUAGUAAGAUGAUAUAUUACGCCAUGGCGUAGACCGAUGUUAUAUGACUCUAAACCAUUAUAUUAAACUAAGGUGGGAUGAUAAAUGCACCGAUUUAAUUAGUUAAGAGGUUGAUUUGUACCAAGGACGAAUGUCACACUUUUGUAAUAAUUGAGGGAUGAAAAAUACACUUUUUGUCAAUAGGUGAAGCCAAGAAAUUUAAUUUAUGUCGGCUCCAUGCAACUUGGAAUUAUCAAUUUGGCUUAAGUUAUAGUGAGUCCUAAAUUGGGUUCACCUCGCAUUGUAUUAAGAAUCAGUUUGCUUGAUUUUUUUUCAAGUAGUUCUAUGCUCUUUCUUUUCUGUAGCUCUCACGUGAGUUUUACUUGUGCUGAGUACAAAAUUAUCCUGCAUAAUGUUAAUGGUAUACCCUUGUGUUGGUCUGUUGGACCUCAUGGUCUGGCCAUUGACGUAAGGACCGGCACAUGUAAUUUUUAACUUUUGGAAUUUAAUAAAAUUUGUUAGAAAUUAAAUGCAUGUGUCUAAAGAUUUUAAGGUUGUAUUUAAUUUUUCUCUUUUUCAAAAAAAAUUAAUGAACCAUAGGAGUUCAUUGUUGCAUUCCUACUCGUGCAUUAUUUUUAGUUGCUUGAAUUUAAAUUUGUGUUUGAAUUCAUUUGUUUGACUCUUUUAAACAAAUAGGAAACCCCUCUUCUUUUCCCUCCCUCUCUUUUCUCCCUUUCGGCCCGUCUCUGUUCCGGCCUAGCCGCGCAGUAGCCUAGUGCUAGCCCGCCUCCACCUCGGCCCACCUUUGCGCCGCACCUGCCGCCUCCCGAUGAUAGGCAGGGCCCGCCUGUCAUCUUUCUCCUCCGGCCUCCCGCACGCCCGACUUGACCGGGACUCGGGUUCAAGUCCGAGCCGGCCGCGCCAUCCCGCGCCUUGGGCCCGCAUGCCUAGGUCCACUUUCCCUGGCUAUAAAAGUAGCCGCCGCCAUACCCCGAGACCUCAUCAAACUUAGCGCCCCGCCUCGAGCUCUCCAGCGCCGCGACCCUAGCCCGAG